rnacentral:rRNA from 1 species
GACGAACGCUGGCGGCGUGCUUAACACAUGCAAGUCGAACGGAAAGGCCCUGCUUUUGUGGUGUGCUCGAGUGGCGAACGGGUGAGUAACCCGUGAGUAACCUGCCCUUUAACUUGGGAUAACUUCAGGAAACUGGGGCUAAUACCGGAUCUGAUCUCCCGCUGCAUGGUGGGGGUUGGAAAGUUUCGGUGGAUGGGGAUGGGCUCGCGGCUUAUCAGCUUGAUGGUGGGGUAGUGGCCUACGAAGGCUUUGACGGGUAGCCGGCAUGAGAGGGUGACCGGCCACAUUGGGACUGAGAUACGGACCAGACUCCUACGGGAGGCAGAAGUGGAGAAUAUUGCACAAUGGGCGGAAGCCUGAUGCAGCAACGCCGCGUGCGGGAUGAUGGCCUUCGGGUUGUAAACCGCUUUCGCCGGUGACGAAGCGUGAGUGACGGUAAUGGGUAAAGAAGCACCGGCUAACUACGUG